AUUGAACGCUGGCGGCAUGCCUUACACAUGCAAGUCGAACGGCAGCACGGGAGCAAUCCUGGUGGCGAGUGGCGAACGGGUGAGUAAUAUAUCGGAACGUGCCCAGUCGUGGGGGAUAACGCAGCGAAAGCUGUGCUAAUACCGCAUACGAUCUAAGGAUGAAAGCGGGGGAUCGCGAGACCUAGCGCGAUUGGAGCGGCCGAUAACAGGUUAGCUAGUUGGUGGGGUAAAGGCCCACCAAGGCGACGAUCUGUAGCUGGUCUGAGAGGACGACCAGCCACACUGGAACUGAGACACGGUCCAGACUCCUACGGGAGGCAGCAGUGGGGAAUUUUGGACAAUGGGCGCAAGCCUGAUCCAGCAAUGCCGCGUGCAGGAUGAAGGCCUUCGGGUUGUAAACUGCUUUUGUACGGAACGAAACGGCCCUUUCUAAUACAGGGGGCUAAUGACGGUACCGUAAGAAUAAGCACCGGCUAACUACGUGCCAGCAGCCGCAGUAA
rnacentral:rRNA from 1 species